rnacentral:rRNA from 1 species
UACGGGGGGAGCAAGCGUUGUUCGGGAUUUACUGGGCGUAAAGGGUGUGCAGGCGGAUGGCCAAGUGGUGUAUGAAAUCGCCCGGCUCAACCGGGCGAGGUUAUGCCAGACUGGCAGUCUAGAGAGCGAGAGAGGGACGUGGAAUUCCGGGUGUAGUGGUGGAAAUGCGUAGAGAUCCGGAGGAACCCCAGAGGCGAAGGCGGCGUCCUGGCUCGCAUCUGACGCUCAGACACGACAGCAUGGGGAGCGAACGGG